rnacentral:rRNA from 1 species
AGUGAACGCUGGCGGUAGGCCUAACACGUGCAAGUCGAACGGCAGCACAGGAGAGCUUGCUCUCUGGGUGGCGAGUGGCGGACGGGUGAGGAAUACAUCGGAAUCUACCUUUUCGUGGGGGAUAACGUAGGGAAACUUACGCUAAUACCGCAUACGACCUACGGGUGAAAGUGGGGACCGCAAGGCCUCACGCGAUUAGA